CCUACGGGUGGCAGCAGUGGGGAAUAUUGGACAAUGGGGGCAACCCUGAUCCAGCCAUGCCGCGUGUGUGAAGAAGGCCCUCGGGUUGUAAAGCACUUUCAGUGAGGAAGAACGCCUGGUGGUUAAUACCCAUCAGGAAAGACAUCACUCACAGAAGAAGCACCGGCUAACUCCGUGCCAGCAGCCGCGGUAAUACGGAGGGUGCGAGCGUUAAUCGGAAUUACUGGGCGUAAAGCGCGCGUAGGUGGCUUGAUAAGCCGGUUGUGAAAGCCCCGGGCUCAACCUGGGAACGGCAUCCGGAACUGUCAAGCUAGAGUGCAGGAGAGGAAGGUAGAAUUCCCGGUGUAGCGGUGAAAUGCGUAGAGAUCGGGAGGAAUACCAGUGGCGAAGGCGGCCUUCUGGACUGACACUGUCACUGAGGUGCGAAAGCGUGGGUAGCAAACAGGAUUAGAUACCCUAGUAGUC
rnacentral:rRNA from 1 species